AUUGAACGCUGGCGGCAUGCCUUACACAUGCAAGUCGAACGGUAACAGGUCUUCGGAUGCUGACGAGUGGCGAACGGGUGAGUAAUACAUCGGAACGUGCCCGAUCGUGGGGGAUAACGGAGCGAAAGCUUUGCUAAUACCGCAUACGAUCUACGGAUGAAAGCAGGGGACCGCAAGGCCUUGCGCGGACGGAGCGGCCGAUGGCAGAUUAGGUAGUUGGGGGGAUAAAAGCUUACCAAGCCGACGAUCUGUAGCUGGUCUGAGAGGACGACCAGCCACACUGGGACUGAGACACGGCCCAGACUCCUACGGGAGGCAGCAGUGGGGAAUUUUGGACAAUGGGCGAAAGCCUGAUCCAGCCAUGCCGCGUGCAGGAUGAAGGCCUUCGGGUUGUAAACUGCUUUUGUACGGAACGAAAAGACUCUUUCUAAUAAAGAGGGUCCAUGACGGUACCGUAAGAAUAAGCACCGGCUAACUACGUG
rnacentral:rRNA from 1 species